rnacentral:misc_RNA from 1 species
CAUGUAAGUAGCAAAUCUCUCAUAAUUUGCUUAUUGAUUUAUGGUCCUUUGACAUUUCAGUAACAUUUCUAGAAUCUUUUAAACACUUCUAAUAAAAUGCCAUGUUCCUGAAGCAUAACACACAACUUCUCACUUUCCCACUUCAUUUACAUAAUUCUAAAUUAUUUCCAGUGAAACUCUAUUUCAUGUGUUCCAUAUGUCUUUUAGAUGAUGUCUCCUGCUUCAGCUACCAAUAUAUACACAUCUAUUCAC